AAGAGGCAAUGAGUUCAGAAUAAACUGAACUAAGAAGGUGUCAUCCACUUUCAUUCCCAAGGUCCAAAGUCUUGCUACAAUAUUAGUCAUCCAUUGGUUUGAUUUGCAUAUUACGCGACCCGUCAAACUUCAUGGUCGUUAGUUCAGCCAUUAGUGUACCAGCGAGAGACUUAUCAGCAGAAUGAAAACGUUCUUCCACAAACUUCAGAUCCAAGUCAAGAUCCAUCACACCUAAGUGGAACUAGACUUGUUCAUGUCAUUCAGAGAACUUCAAUCUGUUGAAUAUAGUAACAGACGAAUCAUGUGAAUGAAGAGGAAUAAUUGCAAAUAGAUACAUACUCACAUAUCAAAAUAAUGUAAAUUCAGCAAAAACGAUAAAGUACAUCGUAAUUCUCCUUUGGGUAGAUAUUACGACACACUAUCAUGAUUUAGAUGUCAUUUUUUAAUCUUUAAUAGGCAAUUAAAUAAUUUUAAGCAACA